rnacentral:rRNA from 1 species
CGGGACGGGUGAGUAAUGCUUGGGAAGUCUGGCUUAUGGAGGGGGAUAACUACGGGAAACUGUAGCUAAUACCGCAUAAUAUCGAAAGAUUAAAGGGUGGGACUUUCGGGCCACCUGCCAUGAGAUGAGCCCAAGUGGGAUUAGGUAGUUGGUGAGGUAAAGGCUCACCAAGCCGACGAUCUCUAGCUGGUCUGAGAGGAUGACCAGCCACACUGGGACUGAGACACGGCCCAG